GAUGAACGCUGGCUGUGUGCCUAAUACAUGCAUGUCGAGCGAAGCACUUUUGUGCUUAGCGGCGAAUGGGUGAGUAACACGUACUUAACCUACCCUCAAGAUUGGGACAACACUUGGAAACGAGUGCUAAUACCAAAUGCGUAUUUUUAUCGCAUGAUAGAUAUAUAAAAGGAGCUUCGGCUUCACUAGAGGAUGGGAGUGCGCUACAUUAGUUAGUUGGUAGGGUAAUGGCCUACCAAGACUAUGAUGUAUAGCGGGGCCGAGAGGCUGAUCCGCCACACUGGGACUGAGAUACGGCCCAGACUCCUACGGGAGGCAGCAGUAGGGAAUUUUCCACAAUGAACGAAAGUUUGAUGGAGCGACACAGCGUGCAGGAUGAAGGUCUUCGGAUUGUAAACUGCUGUUAUAAGAGAAGAAAAACCCUGGUAGGUAAUGACCAGGACUUGACGGUACCUUAUCAGAAAGCGACGGCUAACUAUGUGCCAGCAGCCGCGGUAAUACAUAGGUCGCAAGCGUUAUCCGGAAUUAUUGGGCGUAAAGAGUUCGUAGGUGGUUUUGUAAGUCUGAAGUUAAAUACCGGGGCUCAACCCCGGCCCGCUUUGGAUACUGCAAAACUAGAGUAAUAGAGAGGUUAGUGGAACUCCAAGUGAAGCGGUGGAAUGCGUAGAUAUUUGGAAGAACACCAAUGGCGAAGGCAACUAACUGGAUAUUAACUGACACUGAGGAACGAAAGCGUGGGUAGCAAACAGG
rnacentral:rRNA from 1 species